UUUUAGCCCUGAUUGAAGCAUUUGUUUGAGCUCAUUUUUUGUAUUGGGCGGCGCGGCUUCGCCGCGCCGCCCAAUACAAAAAAUAGCGAGUGCGGAAAGCAGGAAAAGCU
rnacentral:misc_RNA from 1 species